UACCCGCUGAACUUAAGCAUAUCAAUAAGCGGAGGAAAAGAAACCAACCGGGAUUACCUCAGUAACGGCGAGUGAAGCGGUAACAGCUCAAAUUUGAAAUCUGGCUCCUACGGAGUCCGAGUUGUAAUUUGUAGAAGAUGCUUUGGGUUGUGGGUUCGGCCUAAGUUCCUUGGAACAGGACGUCAUAGAGGGUGAGAAUCCCGUAUGUGGCCGAGGCCUGCGCCUAUGUAAAGCUCUUUCAACGAGUCGAGUUGUUUGGGAAUGCAGCUCAAAAUGGGUGGUAAAUUUCAUCUAAAGCUAAAUAUGGGCCAGAGACCGAUAGCGCACAAGUAGAGUGAUCGAAAGAUGAAAAGCACUUUGGAAAGAGAGUUAAACAGUACGUGAAAUUGUUGAAAGGGAAGCGCUUGCGACCAGACUUGGGCGCUGCCGAUCACCCCGAGUUUUCUCGGGUGCACUCGACAGCGCACAGGCCAGCAUCGGUUCGGGUGGCUGGAUAAAGGCCGUAGGAACGUGGCUCCCUUCGGGGAGUGUUAUAGCCUACGGUGCCAUGCAGCCCAGCCGGACCGAGGACCGCGCCUUCGGGCUAGGAUGCUGGCGUAAUGGUUGUAAGCGACCCGUCUUGAAACACGGACCAAGGA
rnacentral:rRNA from 1 species